CUCCUGAGUAGCUGAUAUUACAGGUGCCUGCCACUACACCCAGUUCUUCUUGCUGCCACAAUGUAAAGAAGGAUGUGUUUGCUUCUGCUUCUGCCAUAAUGGCAAGUUUCCUGAGGCCUCCCCAGUCAUGCUGAACUGUCCAAUCAGCAUAAUGUCAUCAAUGCAAUGGAACGGACUGAUUUUCUGCAGAAAGGAAAAUCAAUCAAGGUCCCAGUGGACUAAAUGAUGAUAUAAGUCUGAAUAAUGGACACAUCCUGUAAGUAGAACAGUAAAGGUGUAUUGCUGGCUUUUCCAACUGAGAUAAAACUGCUUCUAAUGAUGUUUACUAACAUAUAUAGCAAAAAGAUCAUUUUUUCAGGUGAAGAGCUGUAUACCAAAUACCUGAGGAUGUGUUAAUUUGUCCAAGCAAUGAAACCACCUCUGGAACAGCAGCUCUAAUUGGAAUCACCACCUGAUUAAGCUGACAAUAAUCCACUGUCAUUCUCCAAGAUCCAUCUGUUUUGUGCACAGGCCAAACAGAUAAAUUGAAUGUGGUUGUGGUGGGAUGUCACUAUGCUCACAUGUUUUAUGUCCUCCAGAUUUGCAGCAUUACUUUUAGCUUACUAUUUUCCUAGGUAGAGGCAGUUAUAAUGACUUUCAAUUAAUUUUCUUAAAUGAUUAUUAUAUAUUAAUUUCUAUAAUAGCCCUUAUUUCACAAGUCAGGAAACCAAUGUAGAGAUUCUGUUGCAUUCUGAAUGUGUCUAUUCCAAUAAUGCUUCUGGAACUGGAUAAAUAAUCACAGGACUUGUUCAGGCACAUGCUGAACCCACUGUGAGACAGCUACGAACUAAAAUUCCAUUGAUCAAUUAAUCACCUGACCUUCAUAAGCCUCUCUUAUGCCUCCACAGUGACAUUUUGGGUGUCCAGAAAUUAGUGUCAUUUUAGUCAGUGUUCAGUAAUCUUCCAAAGGUCUAAUUAUUUCUGUUUUCCAAAGCACAAGCUCACUGGUAAAAUAACUAGAUCUCUUUAGGAAAGACCAGAAAAAAGAUUAAUAGUAUAAACACAUUUUUUGGCAGUGCACUGGACCUCAAAAGGACUUAGCCUCCCUUUCAUUUAAGGGGUGCUGGGAUGGUAAAUUGUCUAAGCCUGGAAAUUGACUGAGGUGCUAUGUCUCUCUGUUUUGGUGAUUUGAAUUAGACUUCUGCUUACUAGACCUGGAACUUUUCCACCUAUACACAUCAUUCAUUAGACUGUCCAUCUAAUUCUUUUCUAGUGACAUAAUUAUCAACUAGCUAAUGCCAUACGUCUUUGUGAGUUACAAUAUUCUGGUUACUGCUUUGACUCUGCAGUUUAUUGCGGUGACUACCUGGUUUUUGAUGAUCCCAGUUAAAUAGCGGCAGUUUCCACUGUAAUUUCUGACUUACAGAAAAGAAUAAAGACAGAGGUCUCAAGGAUGCUAGGACUCCCCUUAUAAAUUUAUGUCUCACAAUUGUGGUAAAAGGUAUGUCUUCUGGACUCUCCAAUUGGAUAAGCAGUUCUUACAUGAUAAAUCUAUUCAAACAUUUCGACCUCCCUAAGACUUUAGAUGCAUUCCUCCAUAGUAUACCAAGGCAAUUCUGACAUUUCAACUUCAUUUAUUGUAGGCCACCUUUAGUUUCAUGUUUCAACCUAUGGACAAAACACACUGUUAGAGCCCUUCCUAGACCACUAAUCUUGGUGAGCCAUAGUAAUACAUCAGAUUAAUCCAACUUUAUAUUCCUUCCACCAUAAUGCCACACUCUUAAGACCCAUUCCCUCACCUAUUUCCCCAGAUUUCUGUGUGUAUCAAUUGGAAAAAUCAUUCUGUUGUUCUUGCAGUUCUUUUACUGUACCUUACAGUUUGGGCUCAGCUGAGACUUAAGUCUAUUUGCAGGUCUAGAUGCAGAGAAGGGUGGUAGAGAUAGGUCCUAAGAAAAAUCAGCAGUACCUUGCAGGGCAAUUACGGAUUCUUUAGGAAGAACAGAUAACCUCCUUAGACAGGAGUGGAUGGCUGCUUCUCCUAGCAAGAAAAUUGCCCAAAUUCAAGGGUUCAAUGUCCCCAGCUUCACUGGGGUGUGUCAAUAUGCCCUCAUUCCAAUUUUCAGGAUCCCAUUCCUUCCCAAUCAUUUUAACAGAAAACACAUUGUGAGGUUAGAAAUUCAAUUUGUUUUGUAAUUCAGUCAAUCACAGGGAGAUUCGGGGUUUAAUUUUCAGAAAUCUCAGACCUGUAGGUAGAAAAGAUAAGGGUGACUUUUAAGGCAUAAAAAAGAGACUAUUACAUUAUUUAGGUGGAACUUGAGCUGGAAUUUGAAGUCUCGCACUUCUUCUUUUAUUUCUGGAACAGCUAGGAGCAACUGACCAGCUCCACUAUACUCUUAAAGUUUGAUAAAAAUAUUCUAGGGUAGCAAAUAAAUGGUGACCUAUAACUUCAACUUCUACAGGUAUUUGAUCACAAGUAUUCAAUAGUUAUAUUUUCCAUAUCUCUUUUGUCAUAUUAUGCCAUGGAUUUCUGGUGUUCUCUUUAUCACUGGAAAUAGUCAUUAGUGCUUUUAAAUAUAAUCACAUGAGGGCCAGGUGCCAUGGCUCAUGCCUGUAAUCCCAGCACUUUGGGAGGCUGAGGCAGGCGGAU